UACGUAGGGUGCAAGCGUUGUCCGGAAUUAUUGGGCGUAAAGAGCUCGUAGGCGGUUUGUCGCGUCUGCUGUGAAAAAUCCAGGGCUUAACCCUGGACCUGCAGUGGGUACGGGCAGACUGGAGUGCGGUAGGGGAGAUCGGAAUUCCUGGUGUAGCGGUGAAAUGCGCAGAUAUCAGGAGGAACACCGGUGGCGAAGGCGGAUCUCUGGGCCGUAACUGACGCUGAGGAGCGAAAGCAUGGGGAGCGAACGGG
rnacentral:rRNA from 1 species